rnacentral:lncRNA from 1 species
UUUACAGUCUUAAGCAGAAUAUUAUCUGCCAUAUAUAACUGUAAUUUUUUAUUUAUUUUUAGUCCAAUGAGAACUGGAAGGGGAGGUGACUCAUUUAUGAUCAUUUCAUCUUAAUGAUUCAUGACAAUUUCUUGAGCACUUACCACGUCUGAGACAUGGAGUUACACCGUGGGGCUAAGGAGGUGACUAGGAUGAGGUCCCUGCAGUUGAAAAGUUUAUCAUCUAUCACAGGGGACAAGAUCAAUUCAGACACAUUCUUUAUGAUGUGGUAUUAGGAUGAAUUUGCAGCAUGCUGUGGAAAUAGAACAAAGGAGCCCUUGAGAAGCUAACCAGAAGAAGAAAAGGAAUAUCACACCCAUACAAGGAGACCAGCUUAGGUGUGGAUGCAAGGAAAUGCAUAGAGCUUGAGGAGUGGAAGUAGUUUGGUGCAUUAGAACAUAAAACAAAAAGAGGACAAUGACUGCGGAUGGAGAGGGUUUGAAUAUGGAAAGUUGUAGAUAUCAUGCUUUUAUUACAGUAACUGUAAUGCAGAUGGUUGGUACAACUGGGAGCUGGUUAGCCGAAGUCACAGCUGAAAUACAAGAAAACAACUGGAAUAGAAAUUAGGUAUCCUGGCAUCUAGACAUCAUCUGCAAGCAACUUGAAAUCCAAUGGCUGGUUCCUCCAUAGCUACAGAAAUUCUCACAUCUGUGGAGGUCUCCAAGGAUAAAAUAAAUGUCUGCGCAGGUCACA